UGACAGAUUGAUGACCUGUGUACCCUGCCUCUCACUCUAUAAGAGCUGGGACAGGCUUUUGCAAUCAGCUACAGGAUGCAUAGCUCACCAACUAUGCAUCUAACUAUACAACUAUGCUUCAAAUAAGCUGAGAGCAUCCCUUAAAUGCACAUUCAUGCAUUAGCAAAAUAUAUAUUACUGCGUGCUUGCACACACUUGUCUCCUACACGCACAGGCAAAUAAAAUCUGUGGUCCAAAGUCAAAAGGUCACAGAGGCCUUGAUGUCAAAAGUCCUAAGCUUUUUCAUCUGUCUGAAAGAGCGAGGUCUUUCCUGAAUAAUAUUUAAAUAAAUUAGAAUCCCUGAUACAUUGUAUGGGCUUUUAAACACCCUGCUAUGCAAAGGCAACAUCGAUCAACAGAAGCGACAUAUCUAUCCAACUAUAAUGGGGUUUGGUGUUGGGAAUAGACUGGGAAGUGUAAUAAUUCAUUGGCGGGGAGGUGUUUUGCUUCUUCACGACAAAAGAAACCAAGCGUGAAAUGAGAUAACCUUAUUAAUACUUUGUGAUAUUAGCCAAUGUUUUUGUGUCCUUCUUAAGUGUUGAUUGUUAUAUUGCUUUGACAAUGAGAUCAUCCGCGCAUAAAGCCUUCAAGACCUUCUGAGCCUCCCGCAGACAGCUUUACCCUGGGGCUAACUAACAAACGGCCUGUUCGAUGAACCAAAACGACUAAAUGACUUGUUGUUGCUGCGCCGUGCAUCAAAGGCAGAUGAUAUCAGCAUUCUAUUUAAAUUGCCACUGGACUUUGCAAACAGUGCAUUAGCUAAAAAAAACUCUCAGUGCUACCCUGUCAUCUACAUAUAUCUAUGAAGUCUGGUUUUGAAAAAUGACUGAAAUGCUAAACUCAACGCUUCAAAAUGAUCUCUCCCACCAGAACUGCCCCGGCUGACUCUCCACACUGCUGCGGCGUUCCUGAAUUCAUUAAUUCCAACUGGUCUCUUCUCAAACACCCUGCCCGAACCUGCGAAAGCCUUUUAUUGUACAGCACAUCCGCUGCUUUGUUUGUUGGCGAUGUCCGGUGACUAUUAUGAUGGAAGGUAUUUGAUUCUUACAGCUGCUUUUAUGUAAAAUGGCAGGGUAGUGCAUGGCAUGCCUGUCUUCAGAACAAACAACAGAAAGGUCCUGUCAAAAGGACAAAGCCUCUGGAGCUUCAACAGUUUGACAGACACUAGUAUAUGUUAGCAAUUCUUCCUUACAGCUACAGCUAAAGUACUUUUUUACAAUUAUUAAAUGUUGAAUUUAUGGAAUAUUUGGACAACUGUUCCUGCACAGUACAGUUUGCACAGAAAACGACAGAUGUCUGACUGAGCACACAUCUGGUAAUGC